CCAGAGGGCCCCUCCUGCCCGCCACGUUUCCUUCCUGCUGGGGGGCUUCUGUUCUCCCAGACCGGGUCGGUGCUCUUUUCCCCCGGCGCCCCUCCCCCACCCAGCCCGGGCCUUGCCUGCCGCAGCCACCUUCUUCUCUGAUGCUGUGUCCUGGACUUGGUGACAAUGGCAAAUUGACAAGAAGGCGAGCCUGGGCCUUUCCUGCGGCGACAUCCAGCUUCCCCCGCCCCUCCCUGGGUGGGUGCCCACCACACGCCCAGCCUGCCGCGUGCUUAUCCAGGCCCUCCAGGCCAGGCCUCCGGGUCUUAUGGAAGAAGGCCCCGUGUCUGGGCAGUGCCGUGGCUGUGAGUGAGCAUCCGGGGCCAGUCAGAUGUGCCGUCUCCGGAGGUCACUUCCAUAGUGGCCAUCAACAGCUUGGCCAAACUCGGCCGCAGGAUCUUUUCCUAUCAAUUGCAGGAUGGACUCUUCCCGCAGCCAUGCGACCUGUGGCCCGCGGUCCUGCUCCCUGAGCUGGAGGAGGCUGAACAGAAUGAGCAGGUUGAGGCCUGUGGGAAGGAAGAGCCACAUCUCCUUCAUGUUUAUUACCCCCUCCGCAGGCCAUAGCUAGGAGGCCUUGAAGGUUUUUUUAAGGGGGAAAGGGGGUUUCCAGAACCACAGCCGGCUCAGCAGAAAGUCUCCACCAACAGAAUCUGUGGGCGCACAUUCCUCAACAGCUGAAGAAGGGGCUGGAGGGGCUCAUGGCAUCCCCUCCAGAGGCAGGCCCAGGGCCCUGUGUGCAGUGGGGGGUCCUGCAUCUGCAUUGUUGUUAAGAAAGUGACAUUUGGCUACAUGGAGUGACUCAUGCCUGUAAUCCCAGCACUUUGGGAGGCUGAAGCUGUCAGAUUGCUUGGGCCCAGGAGUUCGAGAUCAGCCUGGGCAACUUGGUGAAACCUCAUUUCUUUUUUUUUGAGACAGGGUCUCACUCUGUAGCCAAGACUGGAGUGCAGUGGCACAAUCUCGGCUCACCGCAACCUCCACUUCCCAGGCUCAAGUGAUUCUCCUGACUCAGCCUCCCGAGUAGCUGGGAUUACAGGUGUGCACCACCACGCCUGACUAAUUUUUGUAUUGUUAGUAGAGACGGGGUUUCACCAUGUUGGCCAGGUUGGUGUUGAACUCCUGACUUCAAAUGAUCCACCUGCCUUGGCCUCCCAAAGUGCUGGGAUUACAGGCCUGAGCCACUGCGCCCGGACUUUUUUUUUUUUUUGAGAUGGAGUUUCGCUCUGUCACCCAGGCUGGAGUGUGGUGGCAUGAUCUCGGCUCACUGCAACCUCCACCUCCCAGGGUCAAGUGAUUCUCCUGGGUCAGCCUCCGGAGUAGCUGGGAUUACAGGUACGUACCAUCAUGCCUGGCUAAUUUUUGUAUUUUUAGUAGAGACAGGGUUUCACCACGUCUGCCACGCUGGUCUUGGACUCCUGACCUCAAGUGAUCUGCCCACCUCGGCCUCCCAAAGUGCUGGAAUUACAGGUGUGAGCCACCAUGCCCAGCCCUCAUUUCUACAAAACAUACAAAAAUUAGCCAGGCUUGGCACACACCUGUAGUCCCAAGUACUCAAGAGGAUGAAGUGGGAGGUUCACUUGAGCCUGGGGAGGUAGAGGCUGCAGUGAACCAUGUUCUUGCCACUGCACUCCAGCCUGUGUGACAGUGAGGCCCUGUCUCAAAAAAAAAAAAAAGGCAACACUUCUUGAGGCUGCUGGUUUUUCAGCCCUGCUGUGCUGCAUGCUUUUGGCGCUCACUCUAAUUCACAGGGCCUCGAGGGCGAGACUUCGGCUCACAGCUGUAUCCCAGGGCCUAGAACUGUGUCUGACAUAUACCAGUUUUUCUUCCCAGGGUCUCCCCAAGAGCUGCUUCCUUUGACUCCUGCUGUGUGUAGUUCUGCUGACAAUGACCUGGACAGCUCUGCGCCAUGCACAGCGUCUCUUUUCUCCGACUUACCAAAUUUUAGACACUACUGACUCCUCCAUGUGAAAGAUGGGAAUUCAGCUACAUCACAUUACCCUACAAACUUUAUUGUUAAUAUUUCUUCCCGGUCAGCCCCAAACACUGAAUGUAAAUACGGUCCAACAUCAACCUGCAAACGAACACUGACAUGAAAGUGCAGUUGGAAAGGAUCUCGCAAAGGAACAGAAUCUGGUGAUCCUAAUCGUAAUGAACGUGAUCGCCGGGUAUUGAGAGCUUGCAGGUACCAGGGCUCCGGCACUACGUGUUUCACAGGGGCCACUCGGUAGACCUCUUGGUGACCUUGAGGUCAGGUACCACGUUCCCAUUUUACAGAGGAGGAAACUGAGAUAACCUACGACAGCGAAAAGGUAGCAGAGCUGGGACUGGUGCCCAGGCUCGCCGAGUGGAAAAGCCCUCGGCCACCGUGGAGAGCUCGCUUCCUGUGGUCUGAAGCGUCGCCCCUGCACCGGCUUCUGCUGCCAAGGAUGGCUUUUCCUCACUGGUGCCCACCUACGCUCACUUGUGUCAUGUGGUUAAGCCCUUUUGGCAACAUAAGACCUUUCCCAAGAAUGUGCCUCGGUGCAGAGGAAGACGGUGGGGGCAGGCCCCCUCCCCGGGAUGCUCCACCCUCCCUGACCUCACACGGGUGCAACCUGGGCCGUGGCCGAGACCUGCUGUGUGGCAGACAAUGGGAAGCCUGUGUGUCGUCCUGGGUGCCGGAUUUAGACAAUAUUUAGCUUUCCCUUGGUGGAAAAGCCUUUCCCCUCCUGCUUUGGGCAGGAACUGGUUCCUGUUGGGCGGGGCCUGGCUGCUGCCCCACCCCCACCCGGCCGGGCACCUUGACCGGCAGCUCUCCGGGCUGCUCCCUGCCUGUGUCCCUGAGCACUGACUCCAGAGGUUUAAUCAUUAACGGGCACGUUUGGCCUUCGGUCGUGGGCUGGAAUUUGGGACCUGUGCCCGGGAACAAUGAUCUCCGACACAUUAUUUUGUGUAAAAUCACUUUUAGCUGCCAUUAGCUAAUAAAGCUGGAAUAAAGUGAGGUCCAU
rnacentral:lncRNA from 1 species